UGCUGAAAUGGAAUGCAGCUGUGAUUAGCUGCAUAAAAGAGCUUUGCAAGAGACUGCUCCUUGGGAGAAAAGUAAUUGUUGUAUUUGGAUGUAGAUUUUGGUUAGUUUUGGAAGUGCAGAAGGAGGGGUUUAGGUAGGGGACGGGGAAUUUCUCCUCUAAGGCCCUCUGUAGGAGGAAGAGAGGCAAAGGCUUCAGGCAUGCAUCUGAUGAAAGCUCUGGCAGAUUGAUAGUAUGGUGUAGGACUAAGAGAAUUUCGGCUACUAUGGAUCCAGAACCUGUGAUUCCACUUGCUGCAUGUAACCAACCAAUUUUUGCAGAUAUAUUCAAGCCAUUACAGCCCUGUAUCACAACCAAACUGCCCAGUGGAUCACUUUUCCGCUUUGAAAAUUCUGCAUAUGAGAGUGAGCAUACCACUGCAUACU